UGGGGAAUCUUAGACAAUGGGGGAAACCCUGAUCUAGCCAUGCCGCGUGAGCGAUGAAGGCCUUAGGGUUGUAAAGCUCUUUCAGCUGGGAAGAUAAUGACGGUACCAGCAGAAGAAGCCCCGGCUAACUCCGUGCCAGCAGCCGCGGUAAUACGGAGGGGCUAGCGUUGUUCGGAAUUACUGGGCGUAAAGCGCACGUAGGCGGAUUAGUCAGUCAGAGGUGAAAUCCCAGGGCUCAACCCUGGAACUGCCUUUGAUACUGCUAGUCUUGAGGUCGAGAGAGGUGAGUGGAAUUCCGAGUGUAGAGGUGAAAUUCGUAGAUAUUCGGAGGAACACCAGUGGCGAAGGCGGCUCACUGGCUCGAUACUGACGCUGAGGUGCGAAAGCGUGGGGAGCAAAACAGGAUUAGAUACCCUGGUAGUCCACGCCGUAAACGAUGAAUGCCAGUCGUCGGGUUGCAUGCAAUUCGGUGACACACCUAAACGGAUUAAAGCAUUCCGCCUGGGGAGUACGGUCGCAAGAUUAAAACUUAAAGGAAUUGACGGGGUCAUAGCUGUUUCCUG
rnacentral:rRNA from 1 species